ACAGAAAUACCCAUUCAAAUGCCCACAGGAUUCACGGGUCAAAAUCAACCAGAAAUGCAGGCCGCCCCAGGUGUCGUCACACAAGAACAGCUUGCGUCUGUAAUGGGGGCUCUGUUUGGUCCCGAUGGGACCAAUGAAGGUUAUAAUCCGGCAACGGAUCGAGAUGAGAUUCCACAACAGAAUUUUGAUCCCCCCCGACCCCGUUUCGAUCAAAUUACGAGAAUGACCUGAUUUCAAAGUUUAAAUCAGUCUUGGACGAGAGGCUGCUAGAGAACAACCGGAGACUUACCAAUAUGUUCAUGGGAGAGUUUUCUCAAUCAUAUCGAUGUUCUCCAAAGCAAAAAACGGUCAGGACUCCGGUGACCGUACGAACACCAAAAGAAGAGGCACACACUCAGAGUGAUAAUGCUGUUGCCGAUUCAUUUAUCAAUUACGAUAAUGCCUACCACGUCUCUAUGAGCCCGAUGGUGAAUGAAGAUUUUAAUGAGGAUCCUGAAAU